AAUCAUAGUGGGGAGGAAAAUGUCACGGCACCUUUUACUUAACAAAAAUCUGGGCUCCAGACUUAAUCUUCACACUGGAGGAGAGUUAAUCGCACCAGCCCAUAUUUUAAGUUCACUCAUUAAGACCUUUUAAUUUAAUAACUUGACACAUUAUGUUAACAGGAAUAAAAGUGCAAGUACACUUUUUGCGUCACUUAAAUCAAGACCGCACAGCAAGAAAACAUCAAGCGUUUUUAAAGUCAUUUGCCGUAUUUCCAGCACACCGGUGUGACCGAUUAAAGCGUUGAAUUGAGUCUUGACACAUUUUUUGAUGCAUGUGCAACCAAAACAGUCCAUUCUGCAAAGAGCAACACCUAUAUCUCUUAAAACAGCUGCCAGGGCAUUAGGAUGGAUGUUCAGCCUGGAUGCACCUUCAGACUCCCACAAACAGUCAACUAACAUCAGUCGAAGUUACUAAAAUAAUGGAAAAAAUAAUUAAUUUGAAAAUAACUUGUCAGUGGUGUCACCUAGGUGUCAGGACCAAAAUACAUCAGAAAUGUUCAUGAUUUGACUUUUUCUCCACAUCUUUGCUCUUUUAUUUUGAAAUACGACCUAAUUUGACCUCCUAGUGAAUCUUAAACCUCUCCUGACUUCAACAAUCCCAAGCGUGAAAUUUCAGUUUUCUCAACAUACACACACAUGCAACAACGUGUGUGACAAAAGAGGUGAUAAUGAAAAAGACAUUAGUUUUAGUUUGAAGGGUCACCGGACAUGAAGGCUGGAGACCAUCAGUGUGAUUUAUCUUCUUAAUGGAUAAACAGACAGUUAUUAAACAACGAACUGUCUUACUAGUGAGAUCAUGACUGAAUUAGGUGAGAUGGAGGAAGACAACAGGAGGUGACGCCAGUGUGACCACACACACACACACACACACACACACACUCAGGUACGCUGCCUGUGUGUUUCUCAGUCUUCGACCCAACACGAACUGAACACACUUUGAGCUCGUCUACCUACAGCUGCUCGGAACCCGGUGCUCCAGAUUCCCGCGGUCGAGCUCAUCCGGUGUCAACAGAGAAAACACUCACCGAAAACACAAACUCGACACUUCUCUCCGAGGUGAGCAGGACCGAGGCCUCUGUCCGCCUCUCCGCCGACGACAGCAGCGUUAUUCCGGCGUUGUUACAUGUGUUUGGGCGGUGAAAGCGACGGGGUUUUUCUUUGUUGCAGUCGGCAGGAGCUCUGUACAUCCAGGCGGCCGCCGUCCCGAUGCUCAGUGUCCGUUUACUCCGCACAGCGAGCGCUGAUUGGUCGCUUCUACCACAACACAGCGCUCUGCUCUAACGCCAUUGGCUUAGGCUGGCAUGUCCUUCGUGAUCAUAUCUGGAUUGGAUUCCGACAGCACACGAAGGCGUCAUUAUUCCCAUGCUUUUACAUCUCUGUUCUUGUGCACAUCUCCAGCAGAAUGAAUCUUUAUCACUUAAACCAAUCAGAGACCUGUGCAAAGUGGAAGUCAAUUCAGCUACAUAACCACAAGAUCAAUGGACUGAUCUGCUGUAAUAUCUGAAAUCCAGGCGAUUUUGCUGAGGUAGAUUGAUUUACAUUGAGGAUCAGUGUGUGUGUGUGUGUGUGUGUGUGUGUGUGUGUGUGUGUGUGUGUGUGUGUGUGUGUGCUGUUUCUGCUGAACAACCAUAACAGCUGCACAACAGAAUCAAUACAAACCAAUGUCCGAUGGCCUUUUAAAAAAAAUAAAAUAAAAAAAAAAUCACAGCUAGGACACGUAUGAUGAUUGAUCGUUCCAAUUUCCGUCCAGCCACACUUAUUGACAAAUUCUGCUGUUUGUGUUACGCGUG